rnacentral:rRNA from 1 species
UGCAAGUCGAGCGGGGAGAGGUAGCUUGCUACCUGACCUAGCGGCGGACGGGUGAGUAAUGCUUAGGAAUCUGCCUAUUAGUGGGGGACAACAUUCCGAAAGGAAUGCUAAUACCGCAUACGCCCUACGGGGGAAAGCAGGGGAUCUUCGGACCUUGCGCUAAUAGAUGAGCCUAAGUCAGAUUAGCUAGUUGGUGGGGUAAAGGCCUACCAAGGCGACGAUCUGUAGCGGGUCUGAGAGGAUGAUCCGCCACACUGGGACUGAGACACGGCCCAGACUCCUACGGGAGGCAGCAGUGGGGAAUAUUGGACAAUGGGCGAAAGCCUGAUCCAGCCAUGCCGCGUGUGUGAAGAAGGCCUUUUGGUUGUAAAGCACUUUAAGCGAGGAGGAGGCUACUUAGAUUAAUACUCUAGGAUAGUGGACGUUACUCGCAGAAUAAGCACCGGCUAACUCUGUGCCAGCAGCCGCGGUAAUACAGAGGGUGCGAGCGUUAAUCGGAUUUACUGGGCGUAAAGCGUGCGUAGGCGGCUUUUUAAGUCGGAUGUGAAAUCCCUGAGCUUAACUUAGGAAUUGCAUUCGAUACUGGGAAGCUAGAGUAUGGGAGAGGAUGGUAGAAUUCCAGGUGUAGCGGUGAAAUGCGUAGAGAUCUGGAGGAAUACCGAUGG